AAAAAACUAAAAAAUAAUAUAUUCGAUAUAUUAUAUCAGAUGUAGGCCGAUAUCUAAAAUUGAUCUCAAAAGGAAGAAGAAGAAAACUUCAAGAAAUAAAAGAAUCACGCAACAGUGAUCAGAUGUUAUUCAAUGCUAGACACUAUAAUUCAAUACGAUGUAUAUUUAAUAAUCAAUUUAAUAACAAGUCAAUGUUAAACUAUAUUUGCGUAAACCACAAUAUGAAAUUAUUAAUUACUUAUAGUCAUAUGAAAGCAUGAUACGUUGGCAUAGCCGCUAUAAAAAUGUUUUAUACUUGCAUAGCGCAUUCCUUGCAACAUGUAUGGUUGGACAGGUUUGCUAAAAAAUGAAAGUCACAACGCUUAUUCGGAUUGAUAUUUUAGCUGCGAUAUAAAAAUGAAAAGAAACAAGUAAGAAUUAACCUCUUUUAUCUGUUGCUUAUUAUCUUCAACUACUAUUCAAACGUGAAAAGCUGCAUGAAAUGACACGUUUUCAAUUACUUGUCAAUUCAAUAUAAUUUGAAAAAAUUAUAAUCUGCAAUCUAUGUAUGCAGGUACUAUGUACUGAGUACUAGGUAUUCAUAUACUAUAAAUUUAUAUAGUAUAUGCUAUAUAUUUAAAACAGAAAUUUCAUUUAAAUGAAAUUUGUAAGUAAUUUAUUUAUACUUUACUUUUUAACAUAAUUACUAAUAACUAUAUUAUAAUUUAAUUUAUUAUAUGAAAUAUUAAUAGCAUAAAUCAUUAACAUUUAUCAUUAUAUUAAAUUUGAAUAUAUUUAUUUAAUUUAUUGUGAUUAUAUUAAUUUUAAUUUUAUUCUUAUUAUAUUAAGAGAAGAAAGAAAGAAAGAAAAAUAAUCAUUAUAUAAUAUAAUGAAAAAAAAUUAUAUAUACUUUCCAAUUGCAAAAAAAUUUUAUGAGGGCUGUCUGUUCCUCUCUAUAGAAUUACUUUAAAAAAAUUUAUUUCACGCUAAAAGAUCUGCGUCGUCGUGCAAAUUUAUCGAAAUAAGAAAAUAUGAAGAUACUUGUGGCUAUGAACGCAUAUAUUAUAAGAAGAAAUGCACCACCUGGCUUAUAAAAAAUUCUUCUUAUGUGAGUUUUUAAUUACUUCUCGCCAGGUUUCGAUUAUCUGCUGCGUUUCGGUUUAUUCAGCUUCUCCUCCUGAUUAAACCGGUUAAUCAAGGUCCUACUAUAUUUGGACAUCAGCUACAAUUUCAUCAAGAGGCGUGUCUUCUUUAUAAUAUGAAUAUCUAUACAAAAAAUGAGAAACAAUUAUUACUAUUCAUUAUGAAAGAACUGAGAUGUAUUAGUAUUGUAAAUAAUGUAUUUAAUUAAAUCAUUAUGAAUCAAAAUCAUUAUCAUUAUCAUAUCAUUGUGAUACUCUUCGCAAGAAUUCCAAAUUAGAUCAAAGCAUAAAAAAAUUUAAAAAUAUUAUAACUUUAUUAAGUAUCUAUCUAUAUCUUGUAAGAAAAUUAUCAAAGAAUUUUAAGAAUAAUAAUAAAUUCUAAUUUUUUCUAA